GACGAACGCUGGCGGCGUGCCUAAUACAUGCAAGUAGAACGCUGAAGAGAGGAGCUUACUCUUCUUGGAUGAGUUGCGAACGGGUGAGUAACGCGUAGGUAACCUGCCUUGUAGCGGGGGAUAACUAUUGGAAACGAUAGCUAAUACCGCAUAACAAUGGAUGACACAUGUCAUUUAUUUGAAAGGGGCAAUUGCUCCACUACAAGAUGGACCUGCGUUGUAUUAGCUAGUAGGUGAGGUAAUGGCUCACCUAGGCGACGAUACAUAGCCGACCUGAGAGGGUGAUCGGCCACACUGGGACUGAGACACGGCCCAGACUCCUACGGGAGGCAGCAGUAGGGAAUCUUCGGCAAUGGGGGCAACCCUGACCGAGCAACGCCGCGUGAGUGAAGAAGGUUUUCGGAUCGUAAAGCUCUGUUGUAAGUCAAGAACGGGUGUGAGAGUGGAAAGUUCACACUGUGACGGUAGCUUACCAGAAAGGGACGGCUAACUACGUGCCAGCAGCCGCGGUAAUACGUAGGUCCCGAGCGUUGUCCGGAUUUAUUGGGCGUAAAGCGAGCGCAGGCGGUUUGAUAAGUCUGAAGUUAAAGGCUGUGGCUCAACCAUAGUUCGCUUUGGAAACUGUCAAACUUGAGUGCAGAAGGGGAGAGUGGAAUUCCAUGUGUAGCGGUGAAAUGCGUAGAUAUAUGGAGGAACACCGGUGGCGAAAGCGGCUCUCUGGUCUGUAACUGACGCUGAGGCUCGAAAGCGUGGGGAGCGAACAGGAUUAGAUACCCUGGUAGUCCACGCCGUAAACGAUGAGUGCUAGGUGUUGGAUCCUUUCCGGGAUUCAGUGCCGCAGCUAACGCAUUAAGCACUCCGCCUGGGGAAUACGACCGCAAGGUUGAAACUCAAAGGAAUUGACGGGGGCCCGCACAAGCGGUGGAGCAUGUGGUUUAAUUCGAAGCAACGCGAAGAACCUUACCAGGUCUUGACAUCCCGAUGCUAUUUCUAGAGAUAGAAAGUUACUUCGGUACAUCGGUGACAGGUGGUGCAUGGUUGUCGUCAGCUCGUGUCGUGAGAUGUUGGGUUAAGUCCCGCAACGAGCGCAACCCCUAUUGUUAGUUGCCAUCAUUCAGUUGGGCACUCUAGCGAGACUGCCGGUAAUAAACCGGAGGAAGGUGGGGAUGACGUCAAAUCAUCAUGCCCCUUAUGACCUGGGCUACACACGUGCUACAAUGGUUGGUACAACGAGUUGCGAGUCGGUGACGGCGAGCUAAUCUCUUAAAGCCAAUCUCAGUUCGGAUUGUAGGCUGCAACUCGCCUACAUGAAGUCGGAAUCGCUAGUAAUCGCGGAUCAGCACGCCGCGGUGAAUACGUUCCCGGGCCU
rnacentral:rRNA from 1 species